GACGAACGCUGGCGGCGUGCUUAACACAUGCAAGUCGAACGGAAAUGCCCUGCUUGCCGGGUGCUCGAGUGGCGAACGGGUGAGUAACACGUGGGUGAUCUGCCCCUUAUUUUGGGAUAAGCCUGGGAAACUGGGUCUAAUACUGGAUAGGACCAUGCUGUAGGUGGUGUGGUGGAAAGAUUAGUUUCGGUAAGGGAUGAGCUCGCGGCCUAUCAGCUUGUUGGUGGGGUAAUGGCCUACCAAGGCGUCGACGGGUAGCCGGCCUGAGAGGGUGGACGGCCACAUUGGGACUGAGAUACGGCCCAGACUCCUACGGGAGGCAGCAGUGGGGAAUAUUGCAAAAUGGGGGCAAGCCUGAUGCAGCGACGCCGCGUGGGGGAUGACGGCCUUCGGGUUGUAAACUCCUUUCAGCCAUGACGAAGCCCUUGUGGUGACGGUAGUGGUAGAAGAAGCACCGGCUAACUACGUG
rnacentral:rRNA from 1 species